GGAAGAAGCAGUAGAGAAUAACCCUCCAUUUUUAUCCAUCACAACUCCAAAAGCCUCCCCAUGCUGGCCUGUCUUUGCCUGCAUUUAAAGCAUCCAGCUCCCUGGGUUGUUGCUCAGGAUUCUCAGCCAAACCUGGCAGAUCACCUUCAGGAUUCCUAUUUACUUCCUCUGCACUGAUUUUAUCCAUGAAGGAGUCUGGCUGCCUGCAGCAGUUCAUCUCUCUCCUCUUCCUCAGUGGAUUCCUUGAAGACUGGAGAUCUCAGAUGUAACCAUCCGAAAGGGAAGAGAGAACUCUGCUAUGAGACUGAGCAGUGAGUGCACACACAGGAAAAGGUCC